rnacentral:lncRNA from 1 species
GCUGCUCUUGGCACGUUCGCCCGAUGCCGGCAGGCACAGAAACGCGCGCGCUCCUUGGGCUGCGGCCUCAGUUAGCAAACGCCGCUGCUUGAGGCCGUUUCCGUGCCUGCGCCACAGCCUGUAAUCGUAUGAGCGCCGACUCUGCUUAUCUGUUUCUACUUUAUUCGCAAACCGGUGCUUUUGCGGAGGAAAAGAGAAUCCCAGCGGGGAGGGGCUUCCUAAGAGCGGGGUGGUCUUUCAGGCGUUCCAGCCACGGACACCAUCGGGAAGAUCGCGGGGCCCCGGGCAAACCUUGCAGCCGCAGGGCGCUCCUUCCGGGUCCCAGGCACGCGUCGUUGCGUGGCCACCGCCGCUAAGCCCCUUCGGAGGAACGCGGAGAAGCAGACGGAGACGCAAGCGGCGUCGGCACCAGAUUGUAAGGAGGCAGCGGGGCCUGGGGGUCAGAACUGGGAAAGCCGAGCUGCCCUCGGUAGCGGCGGAAGCCACUUCGUAGGCACGGCCGUUCCCGGGCACUAGUGGCUGAACCGGCAGCUGUGGGAGUUUUUCUCCACCGGCGGCNGUGGUGGCCGAGAAAGGGGCUUGGUGGCCUACCCAGCCGGGGAAGAAGCCUCUGCCGCCCGGUCCAUCGCCUGGGCAACCCUUGGGCUGCAGGGUCCAGCUUUGUUACUUCAGGCAGGAGGAGGUAGAAGAUGGUUUCACGGGGAAGAGGGAUAGACGCCAGAAUGGGGGAAGAUACAGAAGUUGGGGGGAAAUGAGAGCAUCUGCUGGUGCUGCUUGGGAAUGUCCGCNCAGUCCCGAAUAACUCAUCUCCCUGUCUGUGGAUGAUGAAGCCGCCUGGAGCAGCUGGAAGAUACAGGCCCUGUGAGCACAGGCUGUUCAGCCAGAGGGGCCGCUGACCCCAUCCAGGGCCCCCCGGUGUCCCUUUCUGCCCCGCUCUGCAGGGGAGUGCUGGGCUUUGGGUUCCGCAGAAACCUAACAG